GAUGAAGAACGUAGCGAAAUGCGAUAAGUAAUGUGAAUUGCAGAAUUCAGUGAAUCAUCGAGUCUUUGAACGCACAUUGCGCCCCCUGGUAUUCCGGGGGGCAUGCCUGUCCGAGCGUCAUUGCUGCCCUCAAGCACGGCUUGUGUGUUGGGCCGUCGUCCCCCUCCUAGGGGACGGGCCCGAAAGGCAGCGGCGGCACCGCGUCCGAUCCUCGAGCGUAUGGGGCUUCGUCACCCGCUCCGUAGGCCCGGCCGGCGCUUGCCGACGACCAUCAAUCUCUUUCUCCAGGUUGACCUCGGAUCAGGUAGGGAUACCCGCUGAACUUAAGCAUAUCAAUAAGCGGAGGA
rnacentral:misc_RNA from 1 species